UACGUAGGGUGCAAGCGUUGUCCGGAAUUAUUGGGCGUAAAGAGCUCGUAGGCGGUCUGUCGCGUCGGAAUGUGAAAAUCCAGGGCUCAACCCUGGACCUGCAUUCGAUACGGGCAGACUAGAGUUCGGCAGGGGAGACUGGAAGUUCCUGGUGUAGCGGUGAAAUGCGCAGAUAUCAGGAGGAACACCGGUGGCGAAGGCGGGUCUCUGGACCGCCACUGACGCUGAGACACGAAAGCGUGGGUAGCAAACAGG
rnacentral:rRNA from 1 species